AAAUCAAAUUGAUUGGAUGUGAUAGAAGGAUCCUACUGUUCACAUGUUAUAUGUCCAUUGAAAUAUAGUGCAAUGCAUCGCUGAGGUUCCAAGAACAAAUGAUCCAACACAGAAAUACAGAAGAAACACAGGGACAAAAUAAAAAAAGUGGAUGGAAUGUAUUCCAAGAUCCCAGACCAGUAUCUCCUACAACACCAUCAUAUGAGUGCCAACAGAGCAGCAUUCUGACCAUUCUGGAAUUUUUAGGAUUCUAGUGGGAAGGAUACUUUAGAGUGGGUCAAGCCAGGCAGAUGAGAUGCAGGAGUCAUUAUCUUAAUGGGAUAAAUGCUUGAAAGAAAAUAUGGGAUAAUGGCAAGUGGGAUAAUGGUGGCAAUCCUGAACAGCCAAGCUCCAAGGAAAGAGCUAGCAGUUCUACUGUGCAUGCACUUCCAUUUGUCUGAGAGGUUUAAACAGAAAGAAGAAGAAAAGAAAGAAAAAACGCAACAAUUUGUUUUUUGCUUUCCUUUUUCACUUGUGCAAGGAAACUCAAUGCCUCCAGAGUGACCUCACUAUUUCAUUAUGUUCUGAGGACACCACUAGGACUACAACGUAUGAUUGUGUUCAGUAGCUUCUAACUUUCUCCGGGCUAUAGGCUGUUAAAAGAGUACAGCACAUUACUAACUGACAGCUAAGCUCACCUGAACAUCUGGAUUUCCUUACACAAGAUCCACUGCGAAAUAAACCUAACCAAGCAAAGGUAUAUACUGCCCUACAGACUGCUUUCAAGCAGUAGCUUAACUAAGCAAGACAGUAAGCUCAAAUUAACUGCCUCAGGGCUCACACAUCUCCUGGAUGCAUUUAAAGCCUAGUGAUGUUAGUCAAGAAACUAACGGAGCUAAAGAGGAGUAGUGGCCUAUGAAGAAGGUCGAUUAUUCAGUCAAGAUGAGAAACACAACUGCUGUGUCUGAAGUGUUUGGUGGCAUCGAAAUGAGAACGACUGCUCUGGGACACACAGAUAGCACAGGUCUUUAACACAGAACGCUGUAUCUCUGUGAGUAAUACCUCAGGGAGGCAAUAUAUGAUCUUAACUAUACUCUGCCUCAGAUCAUGCGAGCUGUUUGGCACCUUAGAGAAUACUUCUCAGAUCCGACAGGUGGGGCCAGGGCGAGUUCUGCCCUCCCGGCACAGCCGGCACCGGGGAGGUGCAGGUGCGCUGCGGGCACAGGGAGCGCGCAGGGGCUGACUGCGGGCGGCUCUCCUGGGACUCCUCCACACUCCGUCUUUCCGAGGAAGCGAGCCACAGACAACUUGCUGACUGAAAAAGCCCUCUUAGAACUGCCGCGCUGCUCCGGGACGGCGCGGGAGGCGGAGCGGGGGCUCGGCAGGGCCGUUACCUGAGGCCGGGCUGGUUCCUCCCGGCGCGGAUGCGGCGCACCCUCAGCGGCAGGCCCAGCAGGCAGCUCAGCGCCGUGGACACUCGCAGGAUC